rnacentral:rRNA from 1 species
GACGAACGCUGGCGGCGUGCUUAAUACAUGCAAGUCAACUGAACUGUUUGUAGCAAUACGGACAGGGAGGUGGCGCACGGGUGAGUAACACGUAGGUAAUCUGCCUUUAGGUCUGACAUAACCCCGGGAAACCGGAGCUAAUAUCAGAUGAUGCAGCGGCUCGACAUCGAGACAGUUGUUAAACCUUCGGGGCCUAAAGAUGAGCCUGCGUCUGAUUAGCUAGUGGUGAGGUAACGGCUCACCAAGGCUUCGACGGGUAGCUGGUCUGAGAGGACGAUCAGCCACACUGGCACUGCGACACGGGCCAGACUCCUACGGGAGGCAGCAGUAAGGAAUAUUGCGCAAUGGGCG